GGCCCUGUCACAAUCCACCAAUUGUUCUGAAGGCAGAGCGCCUCUGAAGCAGCCCCUGCUGCAGAGGGGCCUGCGAAGAGUCUGAGUCCUCUCCUCCGUGAUUUUCCUGAAAUAUCCCAUUUCUAGGAAGGAACAGCCCACAGGAAACCACACGCCCGCUACUGAAAUGAUGUGCAACAACAGUAGCUAGCUCACUGGAGGCAGAAUAUGCCUGGGACUCUCAGGGGCAUCUCUGUCCUUGUCCCUCCUCUGAGAGCAGACAGAGCUUUACUCGGCAAAACUGGGCAAGGGAAUACCAAGAGGCACCCAAGGGAUCACGUGGGAGUCAAACAUAUUCCUCCAUACCCUCUGGUUUAAAAGCAGCCCUAUCUCCUCCAGACGACCUGGGUCAAUUACCCCCACCAAGAUGGGGGCUCCUUUCCUUACCAACUGGAUGCUGGACACAAAGAGGAUAAGGUGUUCUGGUGGCAGCCACAGCUUAUAACGCAAUGGGACACUUCUGUUGAACAAUGGACCACUGCUGAGCCUAACCUACUUUAUGACUUGGUACGUUCAGUGCCACUCAUCACCAUGGCACAGAGCAGCCCUGGGCAGACUGCGGCUGCAUGGCCAUGGACGUGAGCGUGAAGGAAGGACCCUUCCCACGCAGCUGCCCAGGUCACACAGCUGGACUUGGACCCAAGGAGGCAGCAAUUAAAGGUUGGAGUCAUCUUUAAAGGAAAUCCCUUUGAGUGUCCUUCCAUGUGGGUCGACUGUCAUUCAAAAGGAGAGGAGAAGUGGAAAUCGACCAGUUUGGACAGAGUCAAAAGAGCAAAUAGGAACUGUGCUCAGAAAGGUUCAAGCGUGCCCUGGGGACCCGCGAGAGGAGACAGAGAGUCAGUACUGGCGGUGGUAUCCAGCUUUCACCUCUAGCUUCCCCGCAGGAGGCGAAGUCCCUGUGUGACUGCGUUUCCGAGAGGCUGGGAUGGCAGCAGUGGGCUGGGAGGCCUGUGCAGGGCCCUGACUGUGGCACAGGCGGCCUGCGGGCCAGGAGUCUACCCUCCGGAAUGCCUCUGAAGACCAAGUCCCGGGCCUGGCCCCCAGCUUUGUGUGCCCUCCCACUACAGAAGCUGACGGCCUCUCUGUACGCCAGCAAGGAGACCCUGAGUGUGGCUCUCGGCCCUUCUGUAUCCUUUACUAUAGCGUCAACCAAGCACAGCACUAGCCAUUCAGUCCCGUCGUUCUUCCUGCUGAGUCACCGGCUUCCCACCGUGUGCCGGACCGAUCGCACCGGCUCGCGCCCGCCCGCGCACGGCCGCCGUCCCCCGCGAGGCCGCGCCCAGCGCCCGGCUCUCCGAGCGCCCCUCCUCGCCAGGGCCGCGGGCGCGGCGGAGGCGGAGCUGGCCAGGCUCAGGGCCAUUCGGCUGGGCGGCCCCCCUGCCCCACGGCGGGCGCAGCAGCCCCCUCAGGUGCAAGGGCGCCACCUGCGCACUCCGGUGAGUGACCACGGAGCGCAGGUGUCACAGCAAGGAAGCACACCCACCUUGGAACCGAGUAACGAGGUCUGCGGCCACCUGGGAGUCCUCCCAUUUCUCUACUCAGCUCGUCUGGCCCUCAGUUCGGAACCUGUCUGGGUCCCCAUCAAGCAAAAGGGACGGGAGGGGCCCCGCCCCCCACGCGGCCUCUUUCCAGGCCAACUGGACGAGGGCGAGCGCCGGCCCGGCGGGUCAGCCGGCUUCCCACUCAGGCAUCCGGCAUCUCGAAGCCUCCGGCGGGAGCCUGGGCUCCUGUUCCUCCCUCUGAGGACCGGGAGACCCCAGAGCCCGCGCGCCGGACCUGCUUCCCCCACGGGAUCGCGUGGGCGGCGGGGCGGGGCGGGGCCUGGGCGCCACACAGUCCCGCGCCGUGACCCGGUCGGGGCGGGCUUAGAAGCACCCCUCGGCUCGCGGCCGCCCGCAGGUGCGAGCAGCCGGGGACCUGGAACCCCGCGGGGCGGGGAGAGGGCUGGUCCGCUACGCCCAGUUGGCGGGCGGUCAGGUCCUGUCUCACGCCGGCCGGAAUCUGUUAGAGGCAGCACGGAGGACCCUGGGGGCGCCUCGACCCCUGAGAGAAGGGUCUUUAUGACCAGGGCUGGAAGGCAGCCCUGCCAUGAGGACCAGCCUGAAGCCCGCACAUCUUUUAGCUUGGACUACCGCGCUGGAAAGAUGCAGCCGCGCUCUCUGAACCUUGUUUUGUAGAGCGAGUAGGUUCUCCACCUUCUCUUCUCCCCCAGCGGCAUCAGGCGGCUGAUCAAACUACCAAUGAAGAAACGUCUUCCCUGUGCCAGGCAGCCCCGCCGAGCCCUUACUUCCCUUGUCAUUUCCUCCCUACGAUCUUACUGUAGGCUUUUGCACGCGCCUCAUUUCCAUGUCCCAUCAAUGCAGCUUCCUCUUCCUGGGACACUCUUCCCAACUUCAUUAUCUUCAUUAAGAUAUCUUUACAUAUUCAUUCCAAGACCUUGAAAGCAGACGCCUCGUGUACGCUUCUUAGAAUAAAAACAUUUGUAGCUAGUGUCUCCGGUGGUCUCUGUAAUGAUUCUGCACAAAAUGUGAUGGCACGUGGAGCAGGGUUUAUCUCAGCAGAGAGUGGAUGACUGUGCAUGAGCCCC
rnacentral:lncRNA from 1 species